UUUUUAAACCUCAGAAGAAGAGAGAGUAAGGAAAAAAGGGAGAGAGAAUGGAGGUGACAGAAGGAUCACCACCGUCUAACGAACCAAUUGACGGAGUGACGACUUAGGGUUUAAGAGAGGGAGAGGCUGUGUAAAAGAUCAUGACGACAGUUAUCAUUCCGACCAAGUUACACCAGAUUCCGUGUUCUGGUGAAGGUACGGCUAGGGUUCUAGGGAGUAUUGCCGGCAAGGAGAACCAGGUGAAGAGACACAGAUUUGAGAGAGCGGUGAUGGAGUAUCCGGCCAUGGUCUCCGGCCGGCCACCCUAAGGUUAAACCGAUGGUGAUGGUCUGGUGGUUUUGACGCAGUAAAAAACCAUGGUAGUUGACGGCGACCGUAACCGCUGUGGAUUCUAGGGUUCCCGGGGAAGAAAGAGAAAAAGGGAAAGCUGAUGGGGUUGCGGCGGUGCUUACCUAGGGCUCCGCCAUGAGCCCUAUUGGUGAAGCCGGUUUGGUCAAUCGGACGCGACGUGUUGGCGGUGAUACAAUCGAUAACGACGGCGAUGCUGAGGAGAAGUUUGAGGCGAACAAGCGAACUCGUAGAAAUACAAAUGGUUUAUACUUUAUCAUGAUAUUAAUGUGUUAUCCACCAGGCUCUGGCUGCUGGGCGUGGAGCGUCUGCCUCCUGGUAGAGGGAGGUUAAGUGAUUUCUGAAUUAGAUGAACACCUAUGCAACCAUUUUCCAUGGACAGUAACUUCUAUUGUUUUUGUUUAUGUCUUGAAACUAGAUUUGGAUUGAUUGAUGCAACCCUAUGGAAGGAAAUAGCCUCUUCGUUCUUCGUUCCAUAAAGAAGCUAUGACAUAGUAUACGAAAGUUACGGAGUGCGAUGUUUGGAGAACACACCAAAAAGGAUAAACGUUUAGUUCAACCAAGCACUUUUAAACUAACACAUCUCUCCGUUGCAGGGAGAGUUCAGUUGGCAUCUACAACAGCAACACACGUCUAUCAAAAGCCAACUACUGCCCCUAUGAAGUCAAUCGCCACUAGAGACCAGGAUAGCAACAGAUUGCCAUCUGCCGUAGAAUUUAGUUGCGCCAAAGAUAAGUCGAAAGAAUCCCUAGGAAAAUGACCAGUCGUUGCAUUUUAACUACAACAAAAAACCGAACAAACCGCUGUAAGUAUAUCUUCCACCUACCAAAUCUGAAUUCAGAUUUAUAUACAUGUCAUCAGGUAAUUUUUUUAGAUUUAAGACACGUGAAUAUAUUUAGAGCUGAAAUUAGAAUCUCAUUGUACUUCAUUUUGU